GUAUAUUUCAAUUUCAAAUUUAUCCAACAUUCUAAACAUGUUUCAAAGAGAGGUUGUGAAAAAGACAUAGACCUGGAGGAUGCAAGGCAAAGCCGGCUUUUCAUGCACAGCAGUCCCGACUCGAAUUUUUCAGAAAAUCCACAAAGCUUCCAGAGCCUACAAGAGGUGCACAAGUUGGAGAAAUAACAAAGAUGAGACAAGUGUGCACAAUGCCCCCCAAGGGACCAGCAGCAACCUGUUCAAGUUUAUUCAAUAAUGAUCCUUCCGCAGGUUCACCUACGGAAA
rnacentral:misc_RNA from 1 species